GUGGAUGGAGUUAUGUAUGUAGUUCAGUGGGUGGAGUUAUUUAUUUAUGUAGUUCAGUGGGUGGAGUUAUUUAUGUAUGUAGUUCAGUGGGUGGGGUUAUUUAUUAGUUCAGCGGGUGGAGUUAUGUAUGUAAUUAAGUGGAUGGAGUUAUGUAUGUAGUUCAGUGGGUGGAGUUACGUAUGUAGUUCAGUGGGUGGAGUUAUGUAUGUAGUUUAGUGGGAGGAGUUAUUUAUGUAGUUCAGUGGGUGGAGUUAUGUAUGUAGUUCAGUGGGUGGAGUUAUGUAUGUAGUUCAGUGGAUGGAGUUAUGUAUGUAGUUCAGUGGGUGGAGUUAUGUAUGUAGUUCAGUGGGUGGGGUUAUUUAUUAGUUCAGCGGGUGGAGUUAUGUAUGUAAUUAAGUGGAUGGAGUUAUGUAUGUAGUUCAGUGGGUGGAGUUACGUAUGUAGUUCAGUGGGUGGAGUUAUGUAUGUAGUUCAGUGGGUGGAGUUAUGUAUGUAGUUCAGUGGGUGGAGUUAUGUAUGUAGUUCAGUGGGUGGAGUUAUGUAUGUAGUUCAGUGGGUGGAGUUAUGUAUGUAGUUCAGUGGGUGGGGUUAUUUAUUAGUUCAGCGGGUGGAGUUUUGUAUGUAGUUAUGUGGGUGGAGUUAUGUAUGUAGUUCAGUGGGAGGAGUUAUUUAUUUCAGUGGGUGGAGUUAUGUAUGUAGUUAUGUGGGUGGAGUUAUGUAUGUAGUUCAGUAGGUGGAGUUAUGUAUGUAGUUCAGUGGGUGGAGUUAUGUAUGUAGUUCAGUGGGAGGAGUUAUGUAUGUAGUUCAGUGGGUGGAGUUAUGUAUGUA